rnacentral:rRNA from 1 species
CUAAGGUCCCUAAGUCAUGGUUAAGUGGGAUUCGAUGUGGGAAGGCCCAGACAGCCAGGAUGUUGGCUUAGAAGCAGCCAUCAUUUAAAGAAAGCGUAAUAGCUCACUGGUCGAGUCGGCCUGCGCGGAAGAUGUAACGGGGCUAAACCAUGCACCGAAGCUGCGGCAGCGACGUCUGUGCGUUGUUGGGUAGGGGAGCGUUCUGUAAGCCUGCGAAGGUGGCCUGUGAGGGUUGCUGGAGGUAUCAGAAGUGCGAAUGCUGACAUAAGUAACGAUAAAGCGGGUGAAAAGCCCGCUCGCCGGAAGACCAAGGGUUCCUGUCCAACGUUAAUCGGGG